rnacentral:misc_RNA from 1 species
UGAAAAUUCGUACUCGUCUUGAGCUGCGUGCAAUAGUAGAUAACUUGAUUAGUAUUCUAGAACAUGCUAAUUGAGGAUGGUUUCGCUAACCCUGCGAGUUUUCAAU